rnacentral:misc_RNA from 1 species
CUUGGUAUCUGAUAUUGUUAGGAUGCUGAUGAAUUAUGAGGUCGAGUUUAUAAGCAGGCCAGCUUCUCUGCACUUUGGUCUUGUGCGUAGCUCUUGUUGCAAUUAUUUGACCAAAUUCCAGAGUUUCAAGUUUCAUGCUGUACUUCUUAUUGUGCAUCAAUGUAAUAUGUUUAUUUAUAUUUAUCCCCUUAAUCAUUAAAGUAUUUAUCUCAUUCUGAGGAUGAUGAGUUACCUUGUACAAAAAUGAGUUGCCUUGUACAAAAACAAAGUGUAAGUAGAUAAAGAGUCAUGAGGCACAUGAGCACAUUCUUGAAGAAGCAUUGC